AGCAUCAGAUCCUAGUCAAUGUUGUCGGCAUCAAGGAAAAGUAGAGACUUUUUUGCACAAGAAAAUUUGAAUCACAUAAAACUGUUUUCUCAUGGUAAUAUCUGAAGCUUACAGUGACCUUAACCUUAUUGAUACUGCACUUCCAAAGCACCAGAUAGACAGACAGCUUCUUCUUGUUUUCCAAACUAAGGUUUUACUCUCUUUUGUGCAGAUUGUUCAAGAUAUUCCUACA
rnacentral:misc_RNA from 1 species